rnacentral:rRNA from 1 species
GAUGAACGCUGGCGGCGUGCUUAACACAUGCAAGUCGAACGGAAAGGCUCCUGCUUGCAGGGGUACUCGAGUGGCGAACGGGUGAGUAACACGUGGGUGAUCUGCCCUGCACUUCGGGAUAAGCCUGGGAAACUGGGUCUAAUACCGGAUAGGACGAUGGUUUGGAUGCCAUUGUGGAAAGUUUUUCGGUGUGGGAUGAGCUCGCGGCCUAUCAGCUUGUUGGUGGGGUAAUGGCCUACCAAGGCGUCGACGGGUAGCCGGCCUGAGAGGGUGUACGGCCACAUUGGGACUGAGAUACGGCCCAGACUCCUACGGGAGGCAGCAGUGGGGAAUAUUGCACAAUGGGCGCAAGCCUGAUGCAGCGACGCCACGUGGGGGAUGACGGCCUUCGGGUUGUAAACUCCUUUCGCUAGGGACGAAGCGCAAGUGACGGUACCUGGAGAAGAAGCACCGGCUAACUACGUG